GAGGAGGGCCAGCAAUGUCUGGUAGAGGAGGAGGAGGAAGAGGAGGAGGAGGGGUAGGAAGGCCAGUGAUGUCUGGUAGAAGAGGAGGAAGAGGAAGGCCAGCGAUGUCUGGUAGAGAAGGAGGAGCAGGAUGAUGAUGAUGAAGAGGAGGAGGAGGAGCAGGAAGGCCAGCAAUAUCUGGUAGAGGAGGAAGAGGAUGAGGGCUCUCAAUGUCUGGUAGAGGAGGAGGAGGACGGGGAGGAGGAGGAGGAGGGCCAGUGAUGUCUGGAAGAGAAGGAUGAGGAGGAGGAGGAGGAAGGCCAGUGAUGUCUGGUUCAGGUGGAGGAGGAAGGCCAGCAAUGUCUGCUAGAGGAGAAGGAGGAUGAGGAGAAGCUCUUGUGAUGUCUGGUAGAGAAGGAGGAGAAUGAGGAGGAGGAGGAGGAAGGCCAGCGGUGUCUGGUAGAGGACAAGGAGGAUGAUGAUGAGGAGGAGGAGGAGGAGGAGCAGGAAGGCCAGCAAUGUCUUGAGGAGGAGGAGGCUUAGGAGCAGGAGGGCCAGCAAUGUCUGGUACAGGAGGAGGAGGAUGAGGGCCCUCAAUAUCUGGUAGAGUAGGAGUAGGAGGAGUAGAAGGAGGGCCAGUGAUAUCUGGUAGAGAAGGAGGAGGAAAAGGAAGAGAAGGAGGAGGAGGAGAGGCAUGGAUGUCCGGUAGAUGAGUAGGAGGAGGAGGAGGACGAUGGCCAGCAAUGUCUGAAACAGGAGGAGGAGGAGGAGCAUCAGUGAUGUGUGGCAGAAGAGAAGGAGGAGGGCCAGCGGUGUCUGGAGGAGGAGGAGGUGGAGGAAGGGGGCCAGAGAUUUCUUGUAGAGGAGGAGGAGGGCCAGCAAUGUAUGAAGGAGGAGGAAGGCCAGCAAAGUCUGGUAGAGGAUUAGGAGGAGGAAGUGGAGGGCCAGCAAUGUAUGGUAGAGGAGGAGGAGGAGGAGGAGGAGGAGGAAGGCCAUCAAAGUCUGGUAGAGGAGGAGUUGGAGGAGGUGGAGGGUCAGCAAUUUCUGGUAGAGGAGGACGAAGAAGAGGAGGGAGGGGGGAGGAGAGCCACAGAUGUCCGGUAGAGGAGGAGGAGGAGGGCCUGCAAUGUAUGGUAGAUGAGGAGGAGGACCAGGGCUCUGAAUAUCUGGUAGAGGACAAGGAGGAGGAGUAGCAGGAGGAGGAGGAGGAGGGCCACUGAUGUAUGGUAGAGAAGGAGGGAGAUGAGAAGUAGUAGGAGGAGGAAGGCCAGCGAUGUCUGUUAGAGAAGGAGGAGGGUGUGGAUGAGGAGGUGGAAGGCCAGCAAUGUCUGUUAGAGGAGGAGGAGGGCCAGCAAUGGAUGGUAGAGUACGAGGAGGAGAAGGAGGGCCAGCAAUGUCUUGCAGAAGAGGAAGAGGAGAGCCAGCGAUGUCUUGUAGAGGAGGAGUAGGAGGAGGAGGAGGACCAGAGAUGUCAGGUAGCAGAGGAAGAGGAAGGCCAGCAAUUUGUGGUAGAGGAGGAGGAGAACCAGCAAUGUCUGGUAGAGGAGGGUGAGGUAGAAGAGGAAGAGGAGGAAAAGGAGGAGGCAGAGGAGGAUUAAGGGCAGUGAUGUCUGGUAGAUGUGGAGGAGGACGAAAGCCAGCAAUGUCUCAUAGAUUAGGAGGAGGAGGAGGAAAGCCAGCAAUGUCUUGUAGAGGAGGAGGAGGAGGAGGAGGAUAAGAGCUAGUGAUGUCUGGUAGAGGAGCAGGAUGAGAAGGAGGAGGAAGAGGAGGAAGAAGGCCAGCGAUGUCUGGUAGAGAAGGAGGAGGAGGAGGAGGAGGAGGAAGAAGAGGGCCAGAAAUCUCUGGUAGAGGAGGAGGAGGGCCAGCAAUGUCUUAGAGGAGGAGGAGGGCCAGUGAUGCCUGGUAGAUGAGGAGGAGGAGGGCCA
ensembl:lncRNA